rnacentral:rRNA from 1 species
UACGGGGGGAGCAAGCGUUGUUCGGAUUUACUGGGCGUAAAGGGCGCGUAGGCGGCAAUUCAAGUCAGCUGUGAAAUCUCCGAGCUUAACUCGGAACGGUCAGCUGAUACUGCUUUGCUAGAGUGCAGAAAGGGCAAUCGGAAUUCUUGGUGUAGCGGUGAAAUGCGUAGAUAUCAAGAGGAACACCUGAGGCGAAGGCGGGUUGCUAGGCUGACACUGACGCUGAGGCGCGAAAGCUAGGGUAGCAAACGGG